UACAGAGGUCUCAAGCGUUGUUCGGAUUCAUUGGGCGUAAAGGGUGCGUAGGUGGCGCUGUAAGUCGGGUGUGAAAUUUCGGAGCUUAACUCCGAAACUGCAUUCGAUACUGCGGUGCUUGAGGACUGGAGAGGAGACUGGAAUUUAUGGUGUAGCAGUGAAAUGCGUAGAGAUCAUAAGGAAGACCAGUGGCGAAGGCGGGUCUCUGGACAGUUCCUGACACUGAGCACGAAGGCCAGGGGAGCAAACGGG
rnacentral:rRNA from 1 species